CGGAAUCUGCCUAUUUGUGGGGGAUAACGUAGGGAAACUUACGCUAAUACCGCAUACGACCUACGGGUGAAAGCGGAGGACCUUCGGGCUUCGCGCAGAUAGAUGAGCCGAUGUCGGAUUAGCUAGUUGGCGGGGUAAAGGCCCACCAAGGCGACGAUCCGUAGCUGGUCUGAAAGGAUGAUCAGCCACACUGGAACUGAGACACGGUCCAGACUCCUACGGGAGGCAGCAGUGGGGAAUAUUGGACAAUGGGCGCAAGCCUGAUCCAGCCAUGCCGCGUGGGUGAAGAAGGCCUUCGGGUUGUAAAGCCCUUUUGUUGGGAAAGAAAAGCAGUCGGUUAAUACCCGAUUGUUCUGACGGUACCCAAAGAAUAAGCACCGGCUAACUUCGUGCCAGCAGCCGCGGUAAUACGAAGGGUGCAAGCGUUACUCGGAAUUACUGGGCGUAAAGCGUGCGUAGGUGGUUUGUUAAGUCUGAUGUGAAAGCCCUGGGCUCAACCUGGGAAUUGCAUUGGAUACUGGCAGGCUAGAGUGCGGUAGAGGGUAGUGGAAUUCCCGGU
rnacentral:rRNA from 1 species